rnacentral:rRNA from 1 species
AUUGAACGCUGGCGGCAUGCUUUACACAUGCAAGUCGAACGGCAGCGCGGGCUUCGGCCUGGCGGCGAGUGGCGAACGGGUGAGUAAUGCAUCGGAACGUGCCCAGUAGUGGGGGAUAGCCCGGCGAAAGCCGGAUUAAUACCGCAUACGACCUGAGGGUGAAAGCGGGGGACCGAAAGGCCUCGCGCUAUUGGAGCGGCCGAUGUCGGAUUAGCUAGUUGGUGGGGUAAAGGCUUACCAAGGCGACGAUCCGUAGCUGGUCUGAGAGGACGACCAGCCACACUGGAACUGGGACACGGCCCAGACUCCUAAGGGAGGCAGCAGUGGGGAAUUUUGGACAAUGGGGGCAACCCUGAUCCAGCCAUGCCGCGUGCGGGAAGAAGGCCUUCGGGUUGUAAACCGCUUUUGUUCGGGAAGAAAUCCUCUGGGCUAAUACCCCGGGGGGAUGACGGUACCGGAAGAAUAAGCACCGGCUAACUACGUG